GUUUCAUUCAUGUGUGUGUCUGUAUCUCAGUAUAGUUAAAUAUAUACAGAUACAUAGAUAACUUUCUGAAGAUGGUUUCAAGAGCUCUAUAAUUCAGAAACUUUUUGCAUUACUUUCGAAAUCUGAGUUCAUAAUAUGCUUUUCUAAAAACUGCUUAAAGAGAGCAGUGCUAAACAACCAAAAUACAUUAAAAUAUAUUAUUUAAAGAAAAAAAAAAGAGCUUGUUUUAAUUUGUUUUCUUGUUAGUAAUACUGCAUCUAGUUGCAAUGUUAUUUGAUCCUGUAGGAUCGCACAUUUAUAAGCUGUUGUGAUACCACCUAAUGGAGCCACUAAAACAUUCUUCAAAGAUAUAACAACUGCAUUCGUGAGUAGCACAAAAGGCUUUCAAAAUCUUCAAAUCUCUUGUGCUCUUACCGCACAUCUCUCAAAAACACUAUCCUACAAUGCUCUUUUCCAAACUAAAAGAUUUAGCUUUAAUUGGUAACUCACAAAUCCUCCAGGUUGCAUUACAAUCAUAUCAACGACACAUUGUAUUAAAAAAAAAAAAUGCCAGUUACAUUUUUCUGAUUUUCUCUUGGUGAUAAUCAUCAGCUAUCGAAGAACAAAAUGUUUUCUCUGAUUUUUCUAUAUUAGUUUUAACGAAACAAUAUGUUUACUGGUAAGUAAAUGUUAUAAUAUUCCCCCAUCGUGUGUACUGUAUAAUUUGUCAAGUAAUUUCUAUGACAUUUUUUAUUUUUUCACCUUCUCCCAUUGUCCUCUGGGCAUUUUUUUAUGUUGUUCUUUUGCUUUGUUACUGUAUUUUUUUUUUGUUUGCUUACCACUCUUGCCAUGACAGCCAGUUGAUGUUGGCUAGCUUUGCAGACAGACAAGCAGUGUACGGAUAACAAAAUGCCCCAAAUCCUACUGCUGCAUAGCCUUUGAAUGUAUUUUUGUUUGUUUACUUUAAUAGAGGCAGUAUGAAGCUGUUUCAAAGCACUGGCAUUCAAUGUACAUUUAAGACAUGUAAUAAAUGCACUGAGCGUCCUAUCGAACAAAAUCCUGUAAAUCCUGAUUUUUUUUUUAGUUUCUUUCAAAAAUGGUUUGGAACAUUUCACACAUAUACUUAAAAUGUGUAAGUGUGUGUAUGUCAGGGGUGAGGGACUGAGGGUUGGGUAUUUGGGAUCAGGGAAUUUGAUGGUUGUAAAAGGCAAAAGUUCUCAGUAGUUAAUAAAAACCUUUAACGCCGAGCUCCAAAGAGAUAAACAAUACAUUGCAGCACUAAGUACAGCAUUGUGUCCAUACCAGUUGAACAACACAAUCUUUGUUUUACUGUAAAAAACGUGACUUUGUAAUAGCUUAUAUCAUUCAUCGUUUCGGGAAUUGCAUAAAAAUUCUUGCAGAGACCAAACCUUUUAACCUUUUUCAAUACUGGAUGGAGAAGCUUAUCUUUCUGGUAAUGAAAAAUCAACCAAUUGAGUGCCAGGGAUCUGCCAUACAUUUUUCAAAGUAAUAUGUUGGGCACACUUCUGGAAUGCAACGGUUUAAAUUGUGGUGUGUUGUUGCAGAGGACUAACCAAUAGCAGUGUUCCCUUAUUGUUGUUUAGUUGAAUUGCUGCACUACUCAUAAAAUAUUCUGGAUAAAUGUUAAGUAUGAUCUGUUAAGAAAUAAAAAAAAUCUUUAAAAAAACAAACAAACAAUAUUUUCUUGCAACCAAAAAUGGAAUGAAGUGGCAAUUUAUACAGGUUUAAAUAUGUUUCUUUUAUGAUUUAAGAUCAAUAUUCAGAGUAAAAACUGAUAUGUACACAUACUCUUGUUUGAACCUUAUAUACAAAACUUGACAAAAGCAUUCUAUUCACAAUACAUGGUAAUGUACCUGUAAAUUAUACAAACUACAUGUAAAUAAAAUAUGAUCUGUUAAAA